UACGUAGGGUGCGAGCGUUAAUCGGAAUUACUGGGCGUAAAGCGUGCGCAGGCGGUUCGUUAUGUCCGAUGUGAAAGCCCCGAGCUCAACUUGGGAAUGGCAUUGGAAACUGGCGGGCUGGAGUGUGGCAGAGGGGGGUGGAAUUCCACGUGUAGCAGUGAAAUGCGUAGAGAUGUGGAGGAACACCGAUGGCGAAGGCAGCCCCCUGGGCCAACACUGACGCUCGAGCACGAAAGCGUGGGGAGCAAACAGG
rnacentral:rRNA from 1 species